AUGAACGCUAGCUACAGGCUUAACACAUGCAAGUCGAGGGGCAGCAUCAUCAAAGCUUGCUUUGAUGGAUGGCGACCGGCGCACGGGUGAGUAACACGUAUCCAACCUGCCGACAACACUGGGAUAGCCUUUCGAAAGAAAGAUUAAUACCGGAUGGUAUAGUUUUCCCGCAUGGGGUGACUAUUAAAGAAUUUCGGUUGUCGAUGGGGAUGCGUUCCAUUAGGCAGUUGGCGGGGUAACGGCCCACCAAACCAACGAUGGAUAGGGGUUCUGAGAGGAAGGUCCCCCACAUUGGAACUGAGACACGGUCCAAACUCCUACGGGAGGCAGCAGUGAGGAAUAUUGGUCAAUGGACGAGAGUCUGAACCAGCCAAGUAGCGUGAAGGAUGACUGCCCUAUGGGUUGUAAACUUCUUUUAUACGGGAAUAAAGUGAGCCACGUGUGGCUUUUUGUAUGUACCGUAUGAAUAAGGAUCGGCUAACUCCGUGCCAGCAGCCGCGGUAAUACGGAGGAUCCGAGCGUUAUCCGGAUUUAUUGGGUUUAAAGGGAGCGUAGGCGGGUUGUUAAGUCAGUUGUGAAAGUUUGCGGCUCAACCGUAAAAUUGCAGUUGAUACUGGCGACCUUGAGUGCAACAGAGGUAGGCGGAAUUCGUGGUGUAGCGGUGAAAUGCUUAGAUAUCACGAAGAACUCCGAUUGCGAAGGCAGCUUACUGGAUUGUAACUGACGCUGAUGCUCGAAAGUGUGGGUAUCAAACAGGAUUAGAUACCCUGGUAGUCCACGCCGUAAACGAUGAGUGCUAAGUGUUGGAGGGUUUCCGCCCUUCAGUGCUGCAGCUAACGCAUUAAGCACUCCGCCUGGGGAGUACGACCGCAAGGUUGAAACUCAAAGGAAUUGACGGGGGCCCGCACAAGCGGAGGAACAUGUGGUUUAAUUCGAUGAUACGCGAGGAACCUUACCCGGGCUUAAAUUGCAACUGACGGAAUCGGAAACGGUUCUUUCUUCGGACAGUUGUGAAGGUGCUGCAUGGUUGUCGUCAGCUCGUGUCGUGAGAUGUUGGGUUAAGUCCCGCAACGAGCGCAACCCUUAUGGUCAGUUACUACGCAAGAGGACUCUGGCCAGACUGCCGUUGACAAAACGGAGGAAGGUGGGGAUGACGUCAAAUCAUCAUGCCCUUUAUGACUUGGGCUACACACGUACUACAAUGGCGUUAAACAAAGAGAAGCAAGACCGCGAGGUGGAGCAAAACUCAGAAACAACGUCCCAGUUCGGACUGCAGGCUGCAACUCGCCUGCAUGAAGUCGGAAUUGCUAGUAAUCGUGGAUCAGCAUGCCACGGUGAAUACGUUCCCGGGCCUUGUACACACCGCCCGUCACACCAUGAGAGCCGGGGGGACCCGAAGUCGGUAGUCUAACCGCAAGGAGGACGCCGCCGAAGGUAAAACUGGUGAUUGGGGUG
rnacentral:rRNA from 1 species